rnacentral:rRNA from 1 species
CCUACGGGAGGCAGCAGUGAGGAGUUUUCUGCAAUGGGCGAAAGCCUGACAGAGCAAUACCGCGUGAAGGAUGAAGGCCUACGGGUUGUAAACUUCUUUUCUCAAGGAGGAAGAUCUGACGUUACUUGAGGAAUAAGCAUCGGCUAACCCUGUGCCAGCAGCCGCGGUAAUACAGGGGAUGCAAGUGUUAUCCGGAAUUAUUGGGCGUAAAGCGUCUGCAGGUUGAUAUCUAAGUCUUUUGUUAAAUCUCCAGGCUUAACCUGGAAUCUGCAAAGGAAACUAUUUAUCUUGAGUAUGGUAGGGGUAAAGGGAAUUUCCAGUGGAGCGGUGAAAUGCGUAGAUAUUGGAAAGAACACCAACAGCGAAGGCACUUUACUGGGCCAGUACUGACACUCAGAGACGAAAGCUAGGGGAGCAAACGGGAUUAGAUACCCCGGUAGUCCUAGCUGUAAACGAUGGAUACUAGAUGUUGUGGAUUUCGGUCUGCAGUGUCGUAGCUACGUACGUUAGUAUCCGUCCGUGGAGUAGUGCGUCGCGAGAGUAGAAACGUUAAAGGUAAAGUUAAGGUACGGUCGUUGAGUACGUUGCCGAACGGCGACGACGAGGGAGGAGG